CCGAGGCGCCACUAUCUUGCUACUGUCCUGAAAUAGCGUCAUCCGAGACCAGGAAUGCAAUUCUGUUCGAGGUCGGAUCAUGCCCACUUCCAGGAAGUUCCUGUCGGAGUAACGUAAUUGUGCUUCCUUCUCGCCGUGACGCAGCCUCUGUCAAACAGCAGAGAGUGAAGAGACUUCCAUCUCUUGUGAAAAGUGCCUUUGUGCAAACGCUAUCACUAUUGUGUUAACAAGUAUCUACGAACUUGCGUUUUCUAGUGACUGUAGUGAAGCCACAAUGCGGCCAUUCUGAACUUGUAUCACAUCAACACUCAGUAAUCGUGGCUCAUUUAGUGCGUUCUGAUCCACAAGCCCAUGUGUGCAGUUUCAUAGCUACAGCCGAGUCUGAAUCAGCUAUUGCGUAACAUGUAUCACGAUAUUUGGAAGCGAUGUCGUCUUUACUGCGCACAAAAGGGAGGAGAAGCGAAGCAGAGUACUGAAGAGGCCAUGUGUGUUGAACUCUGUAUUUCACGUGAAAUGAAUAAGAUAAGAAGAUCAAUGCCCAGCAAAUCACCACCAGCACUGAAGAAGUGAUGUGAUAUUUUGCAGUAGAGUUAUCUUUCUGAAAUGUGGUUCCUAUACUAUCGCCCCAGCAUGAUAUAUAGUAUUGUAUUAGAAGUAAGGCUGAAGAUUGCUGAUAUUAUGGUACAUAAUUGCAAAUUAUUUUCAGGCUAUGUUUAUUGAAUACAGUAUUAAAUUGAGCAGUUGUGGAAAUUUGUGUGCAGAAAAUCACCACAAAUGAAGAAGACAUAAAAAUCUAUCUGGAUAUAUUUUUCUCAUACACUUAAUGAGAGAACUGGAUCUUUAAUUAAUAACAGC